CCUACGGGGGGCAGCAGUGAGGAAUAUUGGUCAAUGGCCGAGAGGCUGAACCAGCCAAGUCGCGUGAGGGAUGAAGGUACAGAGUAUCGUAAACCUCUUUUGUCAGGGAACAAAGGCGGGGACGUGUCCCCGGAUGAGUGUACCUGAAGAAAAAGCAUCGGCUAACUCCGUGCCAGCAGCCGCGGUAAUACGGAGGAUGCGAGCGUUAUCCGGAUUUAGUGGGUUUAAAGGGUGCGCAGGCGGUCUGUUAAGUCAGCGGUCAAAGCCCGGGGCUCAACCCCGGCCCGCCGUUGAAACUGGCAGUCUCGAGUUGGAGAGAAGUAUGCGGAAUGCGCGGUGUAGCGGUGAAAUGCAUAGAUAUCGCGCAGAACUCCGAUUGCGAAGGCAGCAUGCCGGCUCCACACUGACGCUGAGGCACGAAAGCGUGGGUAUCGAACAGGAUUAGAUACCCUUGUAGUC
rnacentral:rRNA from 1 species